rnacentral:rRNA from 1 species
GACAGAGGUGGCGAGCGUUACCCGGAUUCAAUUGGCGUAAAGGGUGCGUAGGCGGCCGCGCGUGGCGUUGGUGAAAUCUCCCUGCUCAAGGGGGAGGGGUCCAACGAAACUGCGCGGCUGGAGGGCCGGAGAGGGAGGCGGAACAUCCGGAGUAGCGGUGAAAUGCGUAGAUACCGGAAGGUACCUCAAUAGCGAAGGCACCCGCCUGGCCGGUUCCUGACGCUGAGGCACGAAAGCUUGGGGAGCAAACCGG